rnacentral:rRNA from 1 species
UACGUAGGGGGCAAGCGUUAUCCGGAUUCACUGGGUGUAAAGGGAGCGUAGACGGCGACGCAAGUCUGGAGUGAAAGCCCGGGGCCCAACCCCGGGACUGCUCUGGAAACUGCGGCGCUGGAGUACGGGAGGGGCAGGCGGAAUUCCUGGUGUAGCGGUGAAAUGCGUAGAUAUCAGGAGGAACACCGGCGGCGAAGGCGGCCUGCUGGACCGUGACUGACGUUGAGGCUCGAGAGCGUGGGGAGCAAACAGG